ensembl:lncRNA
GCGUGAAGCGCCUCAACCCCGCUGUCUAACCCGGAGAGCAGCUGUUCGUGGUCGUAUAGGCUCUUCCCUUGCGUUUGAAGGGCGGAGCGCAUUGCGCUGUCCUCUGCUGAGUCCAUCAGAUUGUAGUGUCACGUUUCACGUCUGGAUGAGGACUCAAAUGGAGAGAUUUGACACUGGAGACUAGAUUUAACUUGAAAAAAAAGGUUCAUUGGUGAACAAAAGGAAACUCAAAACAACACGAAAGCGCAAAAUCCACAAAAAAGGGCAGUCACAGUCAUUAACAAAAUACAGGGAAUUUUCACAGACACAUGAGGCUAACGAGACGUUACAAGUUGUACAACUUAUUUAUUAACUUACACAGCUGAUGACAGCAUGUUUUUCAAUAAGUUCCAUGUUCUUUUAUUCCAACGUAAUAGUUCCGGAAUCAAAAAAAAAAUGUGUGAGGGAACAGACGAGUAUGAUUCACUCAAAUUACACACCUUGAGUGCAGAAGGCUAUAGAGAGAGAGGGAAAUCUCGUUUUCAGCUAUUGUUUUCUGAAGAAUUUUCAAGUUUUAACAGCCUGUGGCCGCAUGGAUUACAUUUGUGAUGAGGAUCGUUCGAUGACGAAAUUCAGAGAGGCCAUGUCCAGACUUACCAUAACCAUAAGUGGACCAAUGAACCACCCGUCCAGGAGCUCCCCUGAGCCCAUGGUCAUUGAUGGUGGGCCUCUGUCUAAGACACAGGAAAAAAUACCAGAGGCCAAAAAGAAGGAGGCUCCCUUUGUAAAAAGGGAUGAAACCGGUGACUCUGGGGCCACUGGAGGAGGAUCCACCCAGACAUCACUGAAAAUUAAGCAAAGACGUGCCUAUAAAAGAACAUUCAAGGAUGUUAAUCCAGCCGGUAUUAGACGACACACAGGACACCCUCUUCACCAUGUGAUGAAGACCUGGAUGAAAAGGACUCCUAGAGUGUGUUUGUCACAGAAAUGGGGAGAAAGUGGACUAAACAAGAACAGCAGCCGGCUCAAUGUCACUUCACACCUUUUCAAUGAAGAGAGCGAAGUGGACGGAGAAACCAGAACAACCAUCACUGAGUGAAACAUUGCUGGUUCCCUUCCUGUGUUUGUAUUCAUCAACUGCCUGUCUGCAUUUUAUUUGGGCCUAUCUUAUUGUAUAUUGUUACAUAAAAUGUAUUGCAUAAUACUAUAUCAUAAUGUAUACUAAUUAAGUGCUACUAUAUUGUUUUGCAUUGUAUUAAUGGUAUACUAUCAUUACAUUAUUAUUACAUUGUGUUAUAUUGUUAUUAAAUACCAUAAGUUCAUAUUGCCUUACCUAAAGUGUCUUCCUAUCUCACAGUUCAUUUAAAUCUAAAGAUGCCUCUCUGCAAUUUUAGUAUAUGUAUAAUGUGAAUUAUCUCUAAUCAAACCCACUCACACAACAGUAACAAGUUUUCUUAUUGACCUGAACAUAAAGGGCCUCUCACCCCUCCCUUCAUAAGAUCAACUCUAUGCUUUAAUGAUUUGUCAGAAACAAUCAUUGUGGUGUAUAAAUAUAUCAAAGUGUAAGAUGCUAAAUUAAACCUGUGGGCAAUGUGUGCAUAACUGGCAUAAAUGUAUGCAACUGCAUAUUUAGCUGCAUCUUCAUGAUUAUUUUGAAUUGAAUGGAUUUCAUUAUUUUACUUGGCUGGAUUUUUUGGUAAGGAAAUAACAGAUGGAAGGGAGGUAUCUUGCGGCCAGAU